UACGUAGGUGGCGAGCGUUGUCCGGAUUUACUGGGCGUAAAGGAUGCGUAGGCGGAUAUUUAAGUGAGAUGUGAAAUACCCGGGCUUAACUUGGGUGCUGCAUUUCAAACUGGAUAUCUAGAGUGCGGGAGAGGAGAAUGGAAUUCCUAGUGUAGCGGUGAAAUGCGUAGAGAUUAGGAAGAACACCAGUGGCGAAGGCGAUUCUCUGGACCGUAACUGACGCUGAGGCAUGAAAGCGUGGGUAGCAAAC
rnacentral:rRNA from 1 species